UUAAGCGACUAAGCGUACACGGUGGAUGCCCUGGCAGUCAGAGGCGAUGAAGGGCGUGCUAAUCUGCGAUAAGCGCCGGUAAGGUGAUAUGAACCGUUAUAACCGGCGAUACCCGAAUGGGGAAACCCAGUGUGUUUCGACACACUAUCAUUAACUGAAUCCAUAGGUUAAUGAGGCGAACCGGGGGAACUGAAACAUCUAAGUACCCCGAGGAAAAGAAAUCAACCGAGAUUCCCCCAGUAGCGGCGAGCGAACGGGGAGGAGCCCAGAGCCUGAAUCAGCAUGUGUGUUAGUGGAAGCGUCUGGAAAGGCGCGCGAUACAGGGUGACAGCCCCGUACACAAAAGCGCAUGUGCUGUGAGCUCGAUGAGUAGGGCGGGACACGUGGUAUCCUGUCUGAAUAUGGGGGGACCAUCCUCCAAGGCUAAAUACUCCUGACUGACCGAUAGUGAACCAGUACCGUGAGGGAAAGGCGAAAAGAACCCCGGCGAGGGGAGUGAAAAAGAACCUGAAACCGUGUACGUACAAGCAGUGGGAGCCCCACCACUAAGCCAGUGGUGAACUCCACAUACGCAUCCUUUGCUGAGGAUACGGUUAACGGAGCGAAAGCGACGUUCAACCUCAAAAGAAGCAGAGGGGGCUUAGUGGUGGGGUGACUGCGUACCUUUUGUAUAAUGGGUCAGCGACUUAUAUUCUGUAGCAAGGUUAACCGAAUAGGGGAGCCGGAGGGAAACCGAGUCUUAACCGGGCGUUAAGUUGCAGGGUAUAGACCCGAAACCCGGUGAUCUAGCCAUGGGCAGGUUGAAGGUUGGGUAACACUAACUGGAGGACCGAACCGACUAAUGUUGAAAAAUUAGCGGAUGACCUGUGGCUGGGGGUGAAAGGCCAAUCAAACCGGGAGAUAGCUGGUUCUCCCCGAAAGCUAUUUAGGUAGCGCCUCGUGAAUUCAUCUCCGGGGGUAGAGCACUGUUUCGGCUAGGGGGCCAUCCCGGCUUACCAACCCGAUGCAAACUGCGAAUACCGGAGAAUGUUAUCACGGGAGACACACGGCGGGUGCUAACGUCCGUCGUGAAGAGGGAAACAACCCAGACCGCCAGCUAAGGUCCCAAAGUCAUGGUUAAGUGGGAAACGAUGUGGGAAGGCCCAGACAGCCAGGAUGUUGGCUUAGAAGCAGCCAUCAUUUAAAGAAAGCGUAAUAGCUCACUGGUCGAGUCGGCCUGCGCGGAAGAUGUAACGGGGCUAAACCAUGCACCGAAGCUGCGGCAGCGACGCUGAUGCGUUGUUGGGUAGGGGAGCGUUCUGUAAGCCUGCGAAGGUGGCCUGUGAGGGUUGCUGGAGGUAUCAGAAGUGCGAAUGCUGACAUAAGUAACGAUAAAGCGGGUGAAAAGCCCGCUCGCCGGAAGACCAAGGGUUCCUGUCCAACGUUAAUCGGGGCAGGGUGAGUCGACCCCUAAGGCGAGGCCGAAAGGCGUAGUCGAUGGGAAACGGGUUAAUAUUCCCGUACUUGGUGUUACUGCGAAGGGGGGACGGAGAAGGCUAUGUUGGCCGGGCGACGGUUGUCCCGGUUUAAGCGUGUAGGUGUGUGUUCCAGGUAAAUCCGGUUCACUUUAACACUGAGGCGUGAUGACGAGGCACUACGGUGCUGAAGCAACAAAUGCCCUGCUUCCAGGAAAAGCCUCUAAGCAUCAGGUAACAUCAAAUCGUACCCCAAACCGACACAGGUGGUCAGGUAGAGAAUACCAAGGCGCUUGAGAGAACUCGGGUGAAGGAACUAGGCAAAAUGGUGCCGUAACUUCGGGAGAAGGCACGCUGACACGUAGGUGAAGUGAUUUACUCAUGGAGCUGAAGUCAGUCGAAGAUACCAGCUGGCUGCAACUGUUUAUUAAAAACACAGCACUGUGCAAACACGAAAGUGGACGUAUACGGUGUGACGCCUGCCCGGUGCCGGAAGGUUAAUUGAUGGGGUCAGCGCAAGCGAAGCUCCUGAUCGAAGCCCCGGUAAACGGCGGCCGUAACUAUAACGGUCCUAAGGUAGCGAAAUUCCUUGUCGGGUAAGUUCCGACCUGCACGAAUGGCGUAAUGAUGGCCAGGCUGUCUCCACCCGAGACUCAGUGAAAUUGAACUCGCUGUGAAGAUGCAGUGUACCCGCGGCAAGACGGAAAGACCCCGUGAACCUUUACUAUAGCUUGACACUGAACAUUGAGCCUUGAUGUGUAGGAUAGGUGGGAGGCUUUGAAGUGUGGACGCCAGUCUGCAUGGAGCCGGCCUUGAAAUACCACCCUUUAAUGUUUGAUGUUCUAACGUGGACCCGUGAUCCGGGUUGCGGACAGUGUCUGGUGGGUAGUUUGACUGGGGCGGUCUCCUCCUAAAGAGUAACGGAGGAGCACGAAGGUUGGCUAAUCCUGGUCGGACAUCAGGAGGUUAGUGCAAUGGCAUAAGCCAGCUUGACUGCGAGCGUGACGGCGCGAGCAGGUGCGAAAGCAGGUCAUAGUGAUCCGGUGGUUCUGAAUGGAAGGGCCAUCGCUCAACGGAUAAAAGGUACUCCGGGGAUAACAGGCUGAUACCGCCCAAGAGUUCAUAUCGACGGCGGUGUUUGGCACCUCGAUGUCGGCUCAUCACAUCCUGGGGCUGAAGUAGGUCCCAAGGGUAUGGCUGUUCGCCAUUUAAAGUGGUACGCGAGCUGGGUUUAGAACGUCGUGAGACAGUUCGGUCCCUAUCUGCCGUGGGCGCUGGAGAACUGAGGGGGGCUGCUCCUAGUACGAGAGGACCGGAGUGGACGCAUCACUGGUGUUCGGGUUGUCAUGCCAAUGGCACUGCCCGGUAGCUAAAUGCGGAAGAGAUAAGUGCUGAAAGCAUCUAAGCACGAAACUUGCCCCGAGAUGAGUUCUCCCUGAGACUUAGAGUCUCCUGAAGGAACGUUGAAGACGACGACGUUGAUAGGCCGGGUGUGUAAGCGCAGCGAUGCGUUGAGCUAACCGGUACUAAUGAACCGUGAGGCUUAACCUU
rnacentral:rRNA from 2 species